rnacentral:rRNA from 1 species
UACGAAGGUCCCAAGCGUUGUUCGGAAUCACUGGGCGUAAAGGGAGCGUAGGCGGCGUGGUAAGUCAGAUGUGAAAUCCCGGGGCUCAACCCCGGAACUGCAUCCGAUACUGCCGUGCUUGAGGGUUGGAGAGGUAGCUGGAAUUAUCGGUGUAGCAGUGAAAUGCGUGGAUAUCGAUAGGAACACUCGUGGCGAAGGCGAGCUACUGGACAACAUCUGACGCUGAGGCUCGAAGGCUAGGGGAGCAAACGGG